UGUAAGCACCUUUCCCAUUUCGUUAAAAACAUUAGUUUUAAUUUUUUACUUUUUCUAAUGCGACUUUACACAGUGAUCCCUUGCUACUUCGCGUUUCGUUUAUCGCGGCUUCCCUACAUCGCGGAUUUUUCCCCCCAAAUUAAAAUAAAACAUCUAAAAGUCAAAAUAAAACUUCUAAAUUGAGGAGACAUGUGUCUAACAUUUAAGACAAUGCAGUAUUGCUCCAAAUGUUUGUUUACAUUCCUUUAGAAGUCCGUUUUUGCGUGUUAGCACGAUCGCGAAUUACCACCUUUCCGCUAACGCGUUAGCCUGCCCAGUAUUUCUUGUUGGUGACUGUACUUUGCGGAUUUCACUAAUCGCGGGUGGUUUUUGGAACCAAUUAUCUGCAAACAAAUUAAAUGUCUCUUAGUGAUUAGAAUAUUUUGUUCCCCAAGCUGCUCUCUGCAUCCGUCUAGUUCACAAAUGACGGUCAUGUGCUUCCUCCUUCUCCACAUAGGUUUUGUGGUGUGACCUGCACAGCAAAGCAAUGCGCUGUUUGAUCAUCAGCUUGUCCUGCAUCCAGCACUGAGAAAAUCAAUUUAUGUGUUAAUACUCUCCGAUCCUGUUAUGCAAUCUUUUCCUUUUUUCAGAACAUACAUACACACACACACACACUAGAGGGCAGAGUGUCACAACUGAAGACUUCUAUGUCUUCCCACCAAUUGUGGCAGUCUUCCAUACACAGAGGAACAUUCAAGAUUCUCUCCCUGCGCCACUCCUGAUCCACCUGCACAAAUCUCUCAAUGUGGAUUACACUGACACAAGAACAGCAGCACCCACCGGUUGUAUCCAGGGCCCCAAGUGUGGUGAGCAU